rnacentral:lncRNA from 1 species
UCCUUGAAAAAGUCACCAACCUUUUGACGUAAAGGUACAUAUUUGUGAUACCCACCCCCAGUUACUCAGUUGGUCACCUUUCCAAGUGGCUACUAGCUUUGUUCUUAGUCUUUUGACCAUUGGAACAGUUUUUUUUUUUUUUUGAUUUGUGCUUUUGAGGUCUUUGCCUUUGCUGAAUUUUCUUUCUCUCAAUGAUUUGGGCAAAUCAACACCAAUUGCUGAAUCAAGUCACAUUAAGUUCAUUCACACAA